rnacentral:hammerhead_ribozyme from 1 species
AUACAACUGACGAGUCCUAGAUUCUACUGCUAACCACUACUCAUCUUUGCUUACAAGUCUAUGUUUAUUUCUAUAUUCCACUUAACAAGUCCUUGAUAGAACGAAAUGCUCAUCCUGGAU